GAAGAUUCCUGCAGCACAGGAAAGACACUAAAUGACUCACUGACAUUACAAGUUGAGCUAAGUUACAUCCACAGAGAAGGUUACGUCAGCAGGAUUCUGCAAAAACUACAGAACGGAUUUCCAGAAAGAGGCAGAUCGCAGAUUUUGAAUUGUGGCUUUUCAGAACCAAGGAACAGGAAACUCAAGCUUAUCAAUCUCCAUCUCUGAGGCAUUCAGUCGUGUUUGCAGUUUGUCCAUGUCGGCCUUCUGUCCCGUCAGCUCGUCCACAGUCGCGUUGAGCCGGGCCUCCAGGGCUUCAAGAUCCUUCUGUUGGGUUUCUACAUGUCUCUGAUUCUCCUGUAAAUCCUUCGUCAGCUUCUCUUGAGCUCUCAUCCACUCA